UUUCACUAUUUAAAACGACUCUCGGCAACGGAUAUCUCGGCUCUCGCAUCGAUGAAGAACGUAGCGAAAUGCGAUACUUGGUGUGAAUUGCAGAAUCCCGUGAACCAUCGAGUCUUUGAACGCAAGUUGCGCCCCAAGCCGUUAGGCCGAGGGCACGCCUGCCUGGGUGUCACGCA
rnacentral:rRNA from 2 species